GACGAACGCUGGCGGCGUGCCUAAUACAUGCAAGUCGAACGAACCGCGACUAAGUGCUUGCACUCAGUCAAGGUGAGUGGCGAACGGGUGAGUAACACGUGGGUAACCUACCUCAUAGUGGGGGAUAACAGUCGGAAACGACUGCUAAUACCGCAUAGGACAUAGGAUCACAUGAUCCAGUGAGGAAAGGUGGCGCAAGCUAUCGCUAAGAGAUGGACCCGCGGUGCAUUAGCUAGUUGGUAGGGUAAAGGCCUACCAAGGCGAUGAUGCAUAGCCGACCUGAGAGGGUGAUCGGCCACAUUGGGACUGAGACACGGCCCAAACUCCUACGGGAGGCAGCAGUAGGGAAUCUUCCGCAAUGGACGCAAGUCUGACGGAGCAACGCCGCGUGAGUGAAGAAGGUCUUCGGAUCGUAAAGCUCUGUUGUUAGAGAAGAACAGCGCAUAGGGUAACUGCUAUGCGUGUGACGGUAUCUAACCAGAAAGCCACGGCUAACUACGUG
rnacentral:rRNA from 1 species